UACGGAGGGUGCGAGCGUUGUCCGGUAUCACUGGGCGUAAAGGGCGCGUAGGCGGCGCGGUAAGCGGGCGGUGAAAGCCCGGGGCUCAACCCCGGGUCGGCCGUGCGGACUGCCGCGCUGGAGCACUGUAGAGGCGGGUGGAAUUCCGGGUGUAGCGGUGGAAUGCGUAGAGAUCCGGAAGAACACCGGUGGCGAAGGCGGCCCGCUGGGCAGUGGCUGACGCUGAGGCGCGACAGCGUGGGGAGCAAACAGG
rnacentral:rRNA from 1 species